rnacentral:lncRNA from 1 species
AUGAUCAACAGUCACCAUACUAACUUCCUCGUGGGCAAACAUAAAGCCUUAUUAUUGUAUAUUGCUAAGCUUUUUUUUUUUUUAAGAUUUAUUUAUUUAUUUAUUCAGAGUGAGAGAGAGAGAGGCAGAGACACAGGCAGAGGAAGAAGCAGGCUCCAUGCAGGAAGCCCAACGCGGGACCCGAUCCCAGGACUCCAGGAUCACACCCCAGGCUGCAGGCGGCGCCAAACCACUGUGCCACCAUGGCUGCCCUCGCUAAGCUUUUGUAGUGUUUUCUUACACAGCAGUAUUGAAGCAGCAGAUGACUGAAUCAACUCAUUUGGCAUGAGUGGAUUUCCAUGGAAACUGGAAAAAGGGCUGAGUUUGGGCUGAUGCAGCAUGACCAAAGAGCUAGAGGCAGAAGAGAACAUGGUGACAAGAUUUCCCACUCUGGAAUAUUAGGAAGAGGUUUGGACUUCCAUAGACCAUGGAAUUAGGUGUUUAUCCAAGUUAGAAUAAGUCUCCAGGGAGCAAGGAGCUUCCCAGAUCACAUCUAGGCUGCAAAUGAAUGCUUUGUUUCUUUCAUAUAUUUUAAUUUCUAAUAAAUUACUUUGAAAUGGAGUGCGAAAGUGUAAGUUUUACUUGCCCUAUUUUAAAAUCAUAUCCCUGAGUGUUUCUUCCAAAUUUAGAUAAUAGCAAUGAUAGCAAAUAUUUAUUGUGACUCACAAUGA